UGGCACUGUCUGCAGCCCUCGUCAAACAUUUCUAAGAGUUUUCUACACUUUCUUGGAAUGAAAAGACUUGGGCCAUUGCAAGUUAAUUUUCUGUUCAAUAUCGAUACAAGCAGCACGCAUCGCAGCGCGACAGCUCUACCUUAGAACAUGAAAACAAGACACACGUGCAGCCAGCGGGGAGGGGAUUCGGUGAUUACUGUCCCAAAUGAUCGCCGAAAAGUCAGCUGCAUAAAUCCCACUCCGGCAGAAAGUAGGUUGUGUGGAUCUCAGACUGACCACUGAACCACCCCAGGAGCGCACAGGAACCACAUAGACAGGAUUUAUAACAAGUGGAGCUCAAGGAAUCUGAUCACAUUAACAAUUACAUUAACAUUCUGGAAGCCAUGCUUCCCAGCUGGACUGAGUUUAAGCAUGACCUUGGCAAUACUGCACAGAGCUUGUCCCCCAAAGCAAUGUGCAAUCACACAAAUGCACACAUUCUAACUGAACAUUGUGGAAAAUCUAAUUCGAUGUAGAUACCUUUUUGGAAAUUGCAAUCGGUGCAUGAUUGUGAUGCUGGGUUGUUCGAACAAGACCAACAAUGUGAUCCCAAACAUCAAUGCAGUCUUCAUGAAACUACUACCUUCAACUGCUCUCUGUACCCUGAGAC